rnacentral:rRNA from 1 species
GAUGAACGCUAGCGGCAGGCUUAACACAUGCAAGUCGAGGGGUAUUGGUUUUCGGACCAAGAGACCGGCGCACGGGUGCGUAACGCGUAUGCAAUCUACCUUUUGCAGAGGGAUAGCCCCAGAGAAAUUUGGAUUAAUACCUCAUAGUAUAGUACUUUGGCAUCAAGGAACUAUUAAAGUCACAACGGCAAAAGAUGAGCAUGCGUCCCAUUAGCUAGUUGGUAAGGUAACGGCUUACCAAGGCUACGAUGGGUAGGGGUCCUGAGAGGGAGAUCCCCCCANACUGGUACUGAGACACGGACCAGACUCCUACGGGAGGCAGCAGUGAGGAAUAUUGGACAAUGGGCGCAAGCCUGAUCCAGCCAUGCCGCGUGCAGGAUGACGGUCCUAUGGAUUGUAAACUGCUUUUANACAGGAANAACACUCCGACGUGUCGGAGCUUGACGGUACUGUAAGAUAAGGAUCGGCUAACUCCGUGCC